rnacentral:rRNA from 1 species
CAGGGAAUAUUGCGCAAUGGACGGAAGUCUGACGCAGCGACGCCGCGUGGAUGAUGAAGGCCUUCGGGUUGUAAAAUCCUUUUCAGGGGGAAGAGUGAGGACGGUACCCCUGGAAUAAGCGUCGGCUAACUACGUGCCAGCAGCCGCGGUAAGACGUAGGACGCGAGCGUUAUCCGGAUUUACUGGGCGUAAAGCGUCUGUAGGCGGAAGUGUAAGUUGGACGUGAAAGCUCCGGGCUCAACUCGGAGAGGCCAUUCAAUACUGCACAACUAGAGGCCAUCAGAGGGGCGUGAAAUUUCCGGUGUAGCGGUAAAAUGCGCAGAUAUCGGAAGGAACACCAGUGGCGAAGGCGGCGCCCUGGGGUGGGCCUGACGCUAAGAGACGAAAGCUAGGGGAGCGAACAG